GACUCAGUGAAAUGAGGCCCCUCGGUGUAAAAUGCAGCUAAAAUGACAAUUCUCUGGCCUGCAGCUCCUCACUGCACUCCUGAGCUGGCCCAGAGUCAGGUUUUUCUGAGGGAAGAAAUCUCUAGUGUGUCAAAUCCUUUUAAUUAUGCCCUGAUGAAGUGAAUUAAAUUAGUUGGCCUUUUGCUUGAGUCAGUGGAAGCUGCUCCAGUCAGUGGGGCUGGAGGUGGGUCUGUUCCACUUCCCAGGUGAGGGACAGUGAUUAAUUCACUUUUCUAGGACUAAAGAGUCAUUAGUUAAGCCAGAACUAAAAGGUCAUUAAUUAAGCUGGAGCAGAGGAGUUCAUUAGCCCAUGGGAGUGCAGAGCUCUGACCUGCUUCCCUCCCUGUGAUGAGUCUUUUGGGGGCAUUGGGAAGUUUGGGGGGCUCAGUUUGUGCUUGGAAGGGGAGGUUGGGUCGGGAGCUUGGGCUUGGAAAGGCAGGUUGGCUCUGGGUGACUUGGUUUGGAUGUGGAAGGUGAAGUUGGGUCUGGAGUUUGGGCUUGGGGGACUUGGUUGGGUCUGGGUGGGCUUGAAAGGGGAGGUUGGCUCUGGGUGGCUCAGUUUGGGGGGUGUGGAAGGCGAGGUUGGCUCUGGGUGGCUCAGUCUGGAUUUCGAAGGUCAGGUUGGCUCUGGGUGGCUCAAUUUGGAUGUGGAAGGAGAUGUUGGGUCUGGGUGGCUCAGUUUGGGGGUUGUGGAAGGAGCUGUUGGGUCCAGGUGGCUCAGUCUGGAUUUGGAAGGUGAGGUUGGGUCUGGGUGGCUCAGUCUGGAUUUGGAAGGCGAGGUUGGCUCUGGGUGGCUCAGUUUGGACAUGGAAGGAUAUGUUGGCUCUGGGUGGCUCAGUCUGGGUGUGGAAGGCGAGGUUGGCUCUGGGUGGCUCAGUCUGGAUUUGGAAGGAGAUGUUGGCUCUGGGUGGCUCAGUUUGGCCGUGGAAGGCGAGGUUGGCUCUGGGUGGCUCAGUCUGGAUUUGGAAGGCGAGGUUGGGUCUGGGUGGCUCAGUUUGGACAUGGAAGGAUAUGUUGGCUCUGGGUGGCUCAGUCUGGGUGUGGAAGGUGAGGUUGGCUCUGGGUGGCUGUGGCUGGAGCAGGGCUCAGUCUGGGUGCUGAGAGGACCAGCCCAGCUGUG